rnacentral:sRNA from 1 species
UGCUACCGAGUCUCUAACCUAGCAAGCCUCUUACGAGAUUUAUCCUUAGUCGUCUCUUGUCCAAUGACUCUCAGGGUUGUGCCAUAGAUUCAUAACAAAUAUCUUACUAAUCCUAGUUCUGUGUAACGGGCGUACUACCGAUUAACGGACUAAGCACCAUCCUAAAUACAGAUUACGAAUUGAUUAAAGAAAGAAAGAGAAAAGAGAUCAGAAGAAAAGGUCGUAUGAAGGGGUUCUUAUAGAGGGGAGAUUGAGAUGGAGGAAUAUCAGAAGCCGCGCCACAGUGGAGCGCAGAGUGGAAGAAUAUUAAGGGUUAUAUGCAGAGG